UACGGGGGGGGCAAGCGUUGUUCGGAAUUACUGGGCGUAAAGGGCUCGUAGGCGGCCAACUAAGUCGGACGUGAAAUCCCUCGGCUUAACCGGGGAACUGCGUCCGAUACUGGAUGGCUUGAGUUCGGGAGAGGGAUGCGGAAUUCCAGGUGUAGCGGUGAAAUGCGUAGAUAUCUGGAGGAACACCGGUGGCGAAGGCGGUGAUCUGGGCCGACACUGACGCUGUAGAGCGAAAGCGUGGGGAGCGAACAGG
rnacentral:rRNA from 1 species